rnacentral:tRNA from 1 species
UGGAAGGGUAGCGAAGAGGCUAAACGCGGCGGACUGUAAAUCCGCUCCUUCGGGUUCGGGGGUUCGAAUCCCUUCCCUUCCAU